rnacentral:rRNA from 1 species
GACGAACGCUGGCGGCGUGCUUAACACAUGCAAGUCGAACGGAAAGGCCCUGCUUUUGUGGGGUGCUCGAGUGGCGAACGGAUGAGUAACACGUGAGUAACCUGCCCUUGACUUUGGGAUAACUUCAGGAAACUGGGGCUAAUACCGGAUAGGAGCUCCUGCUGCAUGGUGGGGGUUGGAAAGUUUCGGCGGCUGGGGAUGGACUCGCGGCUUAUCAGCUUGUUGGUGGGGUAGUGGCUUACCAAGGCUUUGACGGGUAGCCGGCCUGAGAGGGUGACCGGCCACAUUGGGACUGAGAUACGGCCCAGACUCCUACGGGAGGCAGCAGUGGGGAAUAUUGCACAAUGGGCGGAAGCCUGAUGCAGCAACGCCGCGUGCGGGAUGACGGCCUUCGGGUUGUAAACCGCUUUCGCCUGUGACGAAGCGUGAGUGACGGUAAUGGGUAAAGAAGCACCGGCUAACUACGUG